UACGAAGGGGGCUAGCGUUGUUCGGAAUCACUGGGCGUAAAGGGCGCGUAGGCGGCUUUUCAAGUCGGGGGUGAAAGCCUGUGGCUCAACCACAGAAUUGCCUUCGAUACUGUUAGGCUUGAGACCGGAAGAGGUGAGUGGAACUGCGAGUGUAGAGGUGAAAUUCGUAGAUAUUCGCAAGAACACCAGUGGCGAAGGCGGCCACCUGGACGGUAACUGACGCUGAGACGCGAAAGCGUGGGGAGCGAACAGG
rnacentral:rRNA from 1 species